rnacentral:rRNA from 1 species
UACGGAGGAUCCAAGCGUUAUCCGGAAUCAUUGGGUUUAAAGGGUCCGUAGGCGGUUUUGUAAGUCAGUGGUGAAAGCCCAUCGCUCAACGGUGGAACGGCCAUUGAUACUGCAAGACUUGAAUUAUUGGGAAGUAACUAGAAUAUGUAGUGUAGCGGUGAAAUGCUUAGAGAUUACAUGGAAUACCAAUUGCGAAGGCAGGUUACUACCAAUAUAUUGACGCUGAUGGACGAAAGCGUGGGAGCGAACGAGGA